UAACAUUUCUAACGUCAAUGAAAAGCAAGGGGACUCGAUGUUCACGCUAGCUUCUGUUUGUUAGGAAGAAGGCGAGUGGAGAGAGGUUGGAAAGCAACUGGGAUCCACGUCUACAUACAGUUUCAUACGUCUGCUUAGACAGUUUAUAGAUGGAAAAUUCACACAAAGCUUUGGACUAAAGACUGAAAAUCAAACCUGCGUUCAGCAAAGCGUUUGACCGUUCCUGUCCAGCACCAGUGCUUUGCAUCAGCCAGGACAGGAAGGAGGUCCUGACCCCCUGAAGGAGGUCCUGACCCCCUGAAGGAGGUCCUGACCCCCUGAAGGAGGUCCUGACCCCCUGAAUGAAGGAGGUCCUGACCCCCUGAAUGAAGGAGGUCCUGAGCCCCUGAAUGAAGGAGGUCCUGAGCCCCUGAAUGAAGGAGGUCCUGAGCCCCUGAAGGAGGUCCUGACCCCCUGAAUGAAGGAGGUCCUGACCCUCUGAAUGAAGGAGGUCCUGAGCCCCUGAAGGAGGUCCUGACCCCCUGAAUGAAGGAGGUCCUGAGCCCCUGAAUGAAGGAGGUCCUGAGCCCCUGAAUGAAGGAGGUCCUGAGCCCCUGAAUGAAGGAGGUCCUGAGCCCCUGAAGGAGGUCCCUACCCUCUGAAUGAAGGAGGUCCCGACCCCCUGAAUGAAGGAGGUCCUGAGCCCCUGAAUGAAGGAGGUCCUGAGCCCCUGAAUGAAGGAGGUCCUGAGCCCCUGAAUGAAGGAGGUCCUGAGCCCCUGAAUGAAGGAGGUCCUGAGCCCCUGAAGGAGGUCCUGACCCCCUGAAGGAGGUUCUGACCCCCUGAAGGAGGUUCUGACCCCCUGAAGGAGGUUCUGAGCCACUGAAUGAAGGAGGUCCUGACCCCCUGAAGGAGGUUCUGAGCCAC